ACCAGAUUCGGGGUCAUAUGAGCUGCAGGAGGUUAAAUACAACCAGAACCUGGCCAAGGCUGCAGACUGUGUGAAGGGAAUCAGCCGACCUGCACAGUUGCUUGCAUGCUGGAGUAAUGUGCUCUCAAGGCAGAACCAUGGAUUGUUGCUCUGGCACCACAAAGAGUUGGACAAUAUAUUGGACACACAAUCGCCCGUUAAAGAGAUAGAAAUUAAAAAGAGAAAACGCUUAACUCCACAGUCCUUCUCAGUAAUGCGGUAAUCUAUAAUUAUGUACAAACACCAGGAGUAGCAGUCAGUGCAGGGCAGCAAUAACAUCCUAUGAUCAGAGAAAUAACUCAAUACCAUUGCGUGGAAGUUUCUUGUCACUGAAUAAAACACUUAAUGAAAAUAUAAAUAAAACAUGCAUGCCCCCCAUAUGGGCUCUCCAUUGUAGUGACAGCCAUUGUGUGAAUAUGUUUUUUGUCACUGUGACCUUGACCUUUGACCUAGUGACCUGAAAAUCAAUAGGGGUCAUUUGCGAGUCAUGAUAAAUCUACCUAUCAAGUUUCAUGAUCCUAGGAAUAAGCGUUCUUCAGUUAUCAUCCGGAAACCAUUUUACUAUUUCGGGUCACCGUGAACUUGACCUUUGACCUAGUGACCUCAAAAUCGAUAGGGGUCAUCUGCGAGUCAUGAUCAAUGUACCUAUGAAGUUUCAUGAUCCUAGGCAUAAGCGUUCUUGAGUUAUCAUCCGGAAACCAUUUUACUAUUUUGGGUCACCAUGAC